rnacentral:rRNA from 1 species
UACGUAGGGUGCGAGCGUUAAUCGGAAUUACUGGGCGUAAAGUGUGCGCAGGCGGCUUCGCAAGUCGAGUGUGAAAUCCCCGAGCUUAACUUGGGAAUUGCGCUCGAAACUACGUGGCUCGAGUGUGGCAGAGGAAGGUGGAAUUCCACGUGUAGCGGUGAAAUGCGUAGAGAUGUGGAGGAACACCGAUGGCGAAGGCAGCCUUCUGGGCCAACACUGACGCUCAUGCACGAAAGCGUGGGGAGCAAACAGG